UCCAGACUCCUACGGGAGGCAGCAGUGGGGAAUAUUGCACAAUGGGGGAAACCCUGAUGCAGCGACGCCGCGUGAGUGAAGAAGUAUUUCGGUAUGUAAAGCUCUAUCAGCAGGGAAGAAAAUGACGGUACCUGACUAAGAAGCCCCGGCUAACUACGUGCCAGCAGCCGCGGUAAUACGUAGGGGGCAAGCGUUAUCCGGAUUUACUGGGUGUAAAGGGAGCGUAGACGGCAUGGCAAGUCAGAUGUGAAAGCCCGGGGCUCAACCCCGGGACUGCAUUUGAAACUGUCUGGCUGGAGUGCAGGAGAGGUAAGUGGAAUUCCUAGUGUAGCGGUGAAAUGCGUAGAUAUCAGGAGGAACACCGGUGGCGAAGGCGGCCUGCUGGACUGCAACUGACGUUGAGGCCCGAAAGCGUGGGGAGCAAACAGGAUUAGAUACCCCCGUA
rnacentral:rRNA from 1 species